rnacentral:rRNA from 1 species
GGCUUAGACGGGUAGCUGGUCUGAGAGGACGACCAGCCACACUGGAACUGAGACACGGUCCAGACACCUACGGGUGGCAGCAGUCGAGGAUUUUUCUCAAUGGGGGAAACCCUGAAGGAGCGACGCCGCGUGAGGGAUGAAGGUCUUCGGAUUGUAAACCUCUGUCAUCUGGGAACAAAGUGCUCCACCCAACACGUGGAUUAUUGAUAGUACCGGAAGAGGAAGCAGUGGCUAACUCUGUGCCAGCAGCCGCGGUAAUACAGAGACUGCAAGCGUUGUUCGGAUUCAUUGGGCGUAAAGGGUGCGCAGGCGGUGUGUUAAGUCGGAUGUGAAAUCUCACAGCCUAACUGUGAUAGGUCAUUCGAAACUGGCAUGCUAGAGGACUGGAGAGGAGACUGGAAUAGUCGGUGUAGCGGUGAAAUGCGUAGAGAUCGACUAGAACACCGGUGGCGAAGGCGGGUCUCUGGACAGUUCCUGACGCUCAGGCACGAAAGCCAGGGGAGCAAACGGGAUUAGAUACCCC